CCCCUCUCUGGGCCUGAGGGGGCUGGAUCUGGUCAUUUCUAAGGCAGGACACAGCCCCUUCUCAGGGUCUGAGGGACAAAACUUAGAAGCCUGGAUGAAGUCUGGUUACAGCAGAACAAGGUAUGGUGAGGGGCUGGGCAUGAAAUGAAGAAUGCAGAGUCAGUUCCAACCUUCUGGAGCUUAUCAUCAGGGAAGACAGGCACAGAAGCAGAUGUGCACACGAGGUGGCGGCCUCGAAGCCGAAAAGGAGUCCCAAAGGGCCAACAACCAAAAGAAGGUGUGAAAGGGAAAACAUCCACAUCAAGAAGGAGACGAAGAGUCUGAUGCGUCUCAGUGCCCCCCACCCCAGCCCACCCCCACUUUCUUUAAGCACCAGAAGCCAUCUCUUCCCUUUCCUUCACCAACUCUCCCUUGGGGCCGCUGUCCCCCCCAACAGUGAAAAUAAAAUGUCAGACUGUGAAAGUAGACAACUGUU